AUUGAACGCUGGCGGCAGGCUUAACACAUGCAAGUCGAGCGGAGAUGAGGUGCUUGCACCUUAUCUUAGCGGCGGACGGGUGAGUAAUGCUUAGGAAUCUGCCUAUUAGUGGGGGACAACAUUCCGAAAGGAAUGCUAAUACCGCAUACGUCCUACGGGAGAAAGCAGAGGAUCUUCGGACCUUGCGCUAAUAGAUGAGCCUAAGUCGGAUUAGCUAGUUGGUGGGGUAAAGGCCUACCAAGGCGACGAUCUGUAGCGGGUCUGAGAGGAUGAUACGCCACACUGGGACUGAGACACGGCCCAGACUCCUACGGGAGGCAGCAGUGGGGAAUAUUGGACAAUGGGGGGAACCCUGAUCCAGCCAUGCCGCGUGUGUGAAGAAGGCCUUAUGGUUGUAAAGCACUUUAAGCGAGGAGGAGGCUACUGAGACUAAUACUCUUGGAUAGUGGACGUUACUCGCAGAAUACGCACCGGCUAACUCUGUGCCAGCCGCCGCCGUAAGAC
rnacentral:rRNA from 1 species